CAGGGAGAGGGAACUGAAGUAGGUGGUAUUAACAGCCUUCCUCUGUUUGCUGCAGGCAUUUCAUUUAGUUGCCAUUCAGAGCACCUGAUUGUAUUCUGCGUGGUCGGUGGAGAAAAGAGAGGAGAUUUGGAUCCAGCAUUGGACAUGAGAGCUGGUCCUAAGGGGCUGCUCCGGACCUUCAGGAGUCUGCCCGUCCUCAUGGGAAAGCCACUUCUCAGGCUUGUGGCUGGGAUUCACCUUGCAGAUGUAGAAGAGCAAGUGGGCAGAAGGAAGACUCACUUAUCACCAUGUAUCUUCUUUCACGAUCUGCUGGGAAAACUGGUGGGAGAGAGGCAUGAGUAGAACCUUGCUCUCCGUGGGUUGUGCAGUGGGACUUGCUUGGAGUGAUCCACUGGAGGGGAAUACAUUCAUCAGAAAAAUUAGUUGUUUUGUUUGCCAUUUUUCUGGUCCUGCCAGGCCAGAAGGUGGGAAGUGAGCAUGGAGAUACUUCUUUUGGCACCACUUCUGUCCCUUCUUUCCCUUAAAAGAAGAAGAUGGAAACUUUGUCCAGCCUGCAUAUUCUCUGAAGUGUCACUGAACAUGACUGAAUUGCUUUCCAGACUCUUUUACCCUUGUGAGACUGGGAAGAUCAGGGCUCUGAAGGGAAAGAACUACUGAAGUUGAGGGCAACUUACAGACCAUCCAGGCCAUGAACAGAAUUUAAAGGAUGUAGAGAAGAGUCCUUGAGGAGUUGUAAGCACCAGGCCUGUCACAACCUGUUUAAACAGGACAUUGUAGUGGUAUGUUUUAAAGUUAAAUCUCUGCAUUUGCACUUGCAAUAUCAAGAAUCAGGCAUACUCAGCAGUUUAAUACGUUAAAGGCAACAACAGACUUGAGUUUUCUAAUUUUAUGUCUGAAAUAAAAGCAUGGUGUUAAGGUCAA